GAUGAACGCUAGCGGCAGGCUUAAUACAUGCAAGUCGAGGGACAGCACAGGUAGCAAUACUGGGUGGUAACCGGCAAACGGGUGCGGAACACGUACACAACCUUCCUUUAAGUGGGGGAUAGCCCAGAGAAAUUUGGAUUAAUACCCCGUAAUAUAGUUGAAUGGCAUCAUUUGAUUAUUAUAGCUACGGCGCUUAAUGAUGGUUGUGCGGCUGAUUAGAUAGUUGGCGGGGUAACGGCCCACCAAGUCUACGAUCAGUAGCUGAUGUGAGGGCAUGGUCAGCCACACGGGCACUGAGACACGGGCCCGACUCCUACGGGAGGCAGCAGUAAGGAAUAUUGGUCAAUGGACGCAAGUCUGAACCAGCCAUGCCGCGUGAAGGAUUAAGGUCCUCUGGAUUGUAAACUUCUUUUAUUUGGGACGAAAAAGGGCCUUUCUAGGUCAACUGACGGUACCAGAUGAAUAAGCACCGGCUAACUCCGUGCCAGCAGCCGCAGUAACAC
rnacentral:rRNA from 1 species